rnacentral:tRNA from 1 species
UGAAUUUUAAGUUAAUGAAACUAGAAAUCUUCCAAAUUUCCAAUAAGCUUGCUUAAAUUCAA